rnacentral:rRNA from 1 species
CUCGGCAACGGAUAUCUCGGCUCUCGCAUCGAUGAAGAAUGUAGCGAAAUGCGAUACUUGGUGUGAAUUGCAGAAUCCCGUGAACCAUCGAGUCUUUGAACGCAAGUUGCGCCCGAAGCCAUUAGGCUGAGGGCACGUCUGCCUGGGCGUCACGC